UACGAAGGGUGCAAACGUUGCUCGGAAUCAUUGGGCGUAAAGCGCACGUAGGCGGCUUUGUAAGUUAGAGGUGAAAGCCCGGGGCUCAACUCCGGAAUUGCCUUUAAGACUGCAUCGCUAGAAUUGUGGAGAGGUAAGUGGAAUUCCGAGUGUAGAGGUGAAAUUCGUAGAUAUUCGGAAGAACACCAGUGGCGAAGGCGACUUACUGGACACAUAUUGACGCUGAGGUGCGAAAGCGUGGGGAGCAAACAGG
rnacentral:rRNA from 1 species